rnacentral:rRNA from 1 species
AUGCCGGGCUCCACCGUGCUGCUGAUCGGCGCCUCCAUGGCCGCGCUCCUCGUCGUCUCCCUCUUCACCUUCCUCUGCUCCAACCGGCGCCAGGCGCACCGCGCGUCGCCGUCGCCGUCACAGCGGAGCGUCGUCGACGUGGAGCUCGGCCUGCGGCGGCCGUGCGGGAUCGACGAGGCCGUCCUGGCCGCGUACCCGACCACGGUGUACUCCUCGGCGGCGAGCCGACGGGACGAAGGCCAGAUAGCUGCUGCGGUCACCGCGUCGGCCGAUGGUGGCCAGCCGCCGGACGAAAAGCACACAACGUGCGCGGUGUGCCUGGCCGAGUACGCAGAUGGCGACGAGCUCCGGUGGCUACCGGGGUGCCGGCACGGGUUCCACCGGCCGUGCGUUGACGAAUGGCUGCGGCGGCGGCCGAGCUGCCCGCUCUGCCGCACGGAUCUCGUCGCGGACUGCAACUUGAGCCUUGAGGAGGAAGGAGCUCAUCGGCGGAUGCUACCUUCCUUGAUGCUACGCAAGGACGAUCCCGUGGAUGCAUACCUCAAACCCGUCUCAAAUCUGGGGCUGCCCAUUCAAGCCCGGGCACGGGCACCUCAUCUCCACGUCGCAGCCCUCCCACGUGGUCCCACAUGCAGCCACACACUCUAUCCUCUCUCCCUCAUCUCUCUGUUGGUCGCCCGCGUCCUAGCCGCCGCAUGCCGGCCGGCCGCCUCGUGCCCGCCAGUCACCCGCGUCCUAGCAGCUGGGUGCGCCCUGCCCGCCGGCCGCCCACGUGCCCGCCGCUGCUCGCGUGCUAGGCGUCCGCGUGCCUGUCGCUGCUCGUGUCCUAGCCGCUGCGUGCCCGCCGGCCGCCCGCGUGCCCGCCGCUCCUCGCAUCCUAGCCGCUGUGUGCCCGCUGGCCGCCGCGUGCCCACCGCUGCUCGCGUCCUGGCCAUGUCCGGUGUGUGCAACUCACGCCCUUGGUCGCGUCCGGUUCCGUUGUACUACUACGAUAUUGCUGCGAGCGACCACCAUGCCCGGCUCCGCCGUGGUGCUGAUCGGCGCCUUCGUGGCCGCGCUUCUUGGCGUCUCCCCUCCACCGUCGUCCUCUGCUCCAACCGGCGCCAGGCGCACCGCGCGUCGCCGUCGCCGUCACAGCGGAGCGUCGUCGACCUCGAGCUCGGCCUGGGGCGGUCGCCGUGCGGGAUCGACGAGGCUGUCCUGGCCGCGUACCCGACCGCGGUGUACGCGUCGGCUGCGAGCCGACCGGGCGAAGGCCAGAGCCAGGUGGCUGCUGCCGCCGCGACGGUCGAAGAUGGCCAGGCGCCGGGAGACACGCGCGACACGACGUGCGCCGUGUGCCUGGCCGAGUACGCAGACGGCGACGAGCUCCGGUGGCUGCCGGGGUGCCGGCACGUGUUCCACCGGCCGUGCGUCGACGAAUGGCUGCGGCGGCGGCCCAGCUGCCCGCUCUGCCGCACGUAG